rnacentral:lncRNA from 1 species
CAAAGGAGAGAAGAAGCGAGGUGAAGGUUGAGGAAGGAACCCAAAUCCGACCAAGUUCUUCUCCGGCGUAAAGUCCGGUCACCGAUCGAUCUCCGUCGCCGGCCGGUCAUCGUGCUCAUUGCAGCACCUGCGGAGUAGGAUGAAGAGGAAGUUGACUGGUCAACCAUGGUCAACUUUGAUUGACAGCGGGCAAUUUUGUUUUAUUUGGCAAAUUUUGGAUUUUUUUUUCUAAGGAAGUCGUGAUGGUGUUAUUAAACCCUCCUACGGUUUAUUUUUUAUUUUUCUUUUUCUUUUUCUUGUGGACAUAACAACGACGUUUAUGUUAUAAUCUGAGCUAUGUUAAAUUGCUUAUUUU